CAAGUCCAGGGCUCUUUCAGGCUCUGGUUUGCUGUCAAGGAUUAGGACUGAGUCUCAAGCUGGUCCUGCCAUCCCAGAGAAUAGCAUCUGAAAGAUAUGGACGUGUUCCUGAUGUAUGCUAACAAGAGCUGAAAAUGGGAAACACAUUUUUGACACUAAAAACACCACCACAGGAAUUAAGGCAAAUCAGGGCUUCUCAAACUUGGAUGUUGCUGCACUACAACUCCCAUCAUCUCCAGCCACAAUGGCCUUCUGGGGACCCAAGAUUGACAACCCCUUAGAGCGGUGUCUGGAUUUUGGAGCAUUCCGGAUUUCGGAUGUCCAGAUAAGGGAUACCCAGCAUGUAAUAUCAAACUUUGACAAUGCUAAGGAACAUAGCAACAAUGCUAAAAGCAGUUUGAUGGCAUGCUAGAAAUAUCUGGUCUUUGCCUGGAACUGCAGGACAUCAAGUUUGCUGACAGAUCAGUCAGUACUGCAGAAACGCAACAUGAUGUGAUUCCUGACUGGCUGGGAUAACUAUGAAGAAGAAGAAGAAGAAGAAGAAGAAGAAGAAGAAGAAGAAGAAGAAGAAGAAGAAGAAGAAGAAGAAGAAGAAGAAGAAGAAGAAGAAGAAGAAGUUUAAAAUAAACCAAGAUGAACUUUGAUCAAAAUGGAAUGUAGAGGCAGGAUAUAUAUUUUAAAUUAUAGUCACACAAGAUGGCAGUACAGAUUUUCAGCAGAGGUUUCAGGCCUGUGACCCAUGGUUAAAAAUAGCCACACCCCAAGAGACUAGCUGCGAAUUGUAUUUAUGUAUCUGAGAAAGGGAGGCAGCAAUGGGGAAUAUUCCUUAUUAUUUUCAGUUUCAAAAGCACAUAUAUCAGAAUGAAUUUGUCAGAGCUUUAUGUAAAAAGACAUCCCUCCAUGUACCCUUCCAGAACUGUGCAUUGCUUGCAUAGUUAGGACUCCAGACCGCUGGGACAGUGGCUUCUCGAGCAUUAGCUGCAGCAAAACAUAGAACUAAACCAUUAAGAGCCAAAGCUAAAACCUAAAACCAACAAUUUUAAACAUUCAAAACUGAACAUUAA